UACGUAGGUGGCGAGCGUUGUCCGGAUUUACUGGGCGUAAAGGGAGCGUAGGCGGAUUUUUAAGUGAGAUGUGAAAUACUCGGGCUCAACUUGAGUGCUGCAUUUCAAACUGGAAGUCCAGAGCGCAGGAGAGGAGAAUGGAAUUCCUAGUGUAGCGGUGAAAUGCGUAGAGAUUAGGAAGAACACCAGUGGCGAAGGCGAUUCUCUGGACUGUAACUGACGCUGAGGCUCGAAAGCGUGGGGAGCAAACAGG
rnacentral:rRNA from 1 species